UUCCUGAAAUAGCCCUAUAUUCUUCAAUCUGUUAUCAAAGCCAAGCUUUGAUAUAUGGAUGCAUAACUGAUUUUUUUUGAUUGAUUUAUAUAUGGUAUGUAGUUAGAAUUUUAUAUUAGACAUUAAAUCUAAUUUAGAUCUAUUUAAAUAAAAUUUAUGAUCUGAUUUGGAUUAGAUUUCAAGAACCUAAUAAAUGGUUGGUUAAGGUUUGUUAUA
rnacentral:lncRNA from 1 species